rnacentral:lncRNA from 1 species
GCCCGACCUCGAACUCCACACGACAGGGUAACGUAUCCGGCCCAAAGGACUUGGACAUCGAAUCCGAAAAGUAUCCCCUAAGGUGAGGCUCCGGUCUAAAAGAACUCGGACGCCGACCUGAUCAACUCCAAUCUCUUUAUGAGCUUCAGCCCAAUAAUCUCCCAAAACCCUUUUAAUAUUAGGUGUUCGACUUAUAUGAAGUUCGG